UACGAAGGGUGCAAGCGUUACUCGGAAUUACUGGGCGUAAAGCGUGCGUAGGUGGUUCGUUAAGUCUGAUGUGAAAGCCCCGGGCUCAACCCUGGGAAUUGCAUUCGAGACUGAAUAGCUAGGGUACGGUAGAGGGAAGCGGAAUUUCCGGUGUAGCGGUGAAAUGCGUAGAUAUCGGAAGGAACAUCAGUGGCGAAAGCG
rnacentral:rRNA from 1 species